rnacentral:tRNA from 1 species
GCCGAAGUGGUGGAAUUGGUAGACACGCUAGGUUCAGGGUCUAGUGGAGUUACUCCGUGGAAGUUCGAGUCUUCUCUUCGGCACCA